rnacentral:lncRNA from 12 species
GACAUGCACAAGUGUGGACAAUCCAGAUGAUGAAGGGCUUGGAAUGGAAUUCAAGGUUCCUGUCUGACCAGGCUAAAAGUGCAGAGUUAAAUGAUGGCAGUGAUGAAUACAUAUAUCACAUACUAACACAAAGGGGCACAUUGACUGGGAGGUGAAGAGGAGAGUCGCAGCGGCUCCGGCGCUGAGUAGAGCAGCCGCGCAUCCCUCUGCCCUUCCUCCGCCGGCGCAUCCCUCUGCCUUCCUCCGGCGCAUCCCUCUGCUCUUCUUCCUCCUGCGCAUCCCUCUGCUCUUCUUCCUCCUGCGCAUCCCUCCGUUUCCUCCUCCGGAGCCCUGGCCGCCGGCAGCGGGACGGGCUCUGAGCCGGGUGGCAGCUCCAGGCGGCCCCAGAGCCGCAGCCCUCCGCCGUGCGCCACAGAACGCCCGGCAGGUUCGGUGAGGUCCCCGGCAGCGAGCAGUGCAGCGGGACAGGCUGCGCUCCGAGCGGGGACCGG